rnacentral:misc_RNA from 1 species
GAUGAAGAACGCAGCGAAUUGCGAUAAGUAAUGUGAAUUGCAGAAUUCAGUGAAUCAUCGAAUCUUUGAACGCACAUUGCGCCCCCUGGUAUUCCGGGGGGCAUGCCUGUUCGAGCGUCAUUUCACCACUCAAGCCUCGCUUGGUAUUGGGCAACGCGGUCCGCCGCGUGCCUCAAAUCGUCCGGCUGGGUCUUCUGUCCCCUAAGCGUUGUGGAAACUAUUCGCUAAAGGGUGUUCGGGAGGCUACGCCGUAAAACAACCCCAUUUCUAAGGUUGACCUCGGAUCAGGUAGGGAUACCCGCUGAACUUAAGCAUAUCAAUAAGCGGAGGA